rfam:Corchorus olitorius cultivar O-4 contig18165, whole genome shotgun sequence.
AGAUGAAGUAGUGCAGCCAAGGAUGACUUGCCGGAUUGCUUAUGUUCAUAUAUAUCAAGCAUAUAUAUAGCUUUGGAGGAGAUAACCGGCAAGUUGUCUUUGGCUACAAUUCUGUCUCA